CAACAAUUCAGAUCAAGUUCUGCCCUCCCCUUUUUCUUUCCAGGGGAUAAUAUUGUUCAGAACUGGCUAACUUCUAGUUAAAAAUCUGUAUCUUCAUUUUCAUCGUUAAUGAAAUGCAAGAAUUGGACCAGCUUGUCACUAAGGUUUUCUUCAGCUCUUGACCUCUGUUGAAGGAUCCUUUGGAGUCUUAGAAUUUUUGGCAGUACCUUGAAGGGAUGGAAACUGUUCAUCUGGAGUUGGACUUGAGGAUGAACCAGGAGGCCCGGUGCUCAGCUGUAAUUUGAUGAUUUAUCUGAUCCAGAUGUGUGACCAGCAAGCUACAUUUCUAAUUAUAAAGACAGCCAAAUUCCAUUAUAAGAACAUCAUGGGAUUACAGGACCGG
rnacentral:lncRNA from 1 species